GCUCUAAAAUCACCUGAAUAUCUAUUGUGAGUCACUCUUCCAGACUAAUGAAUCCCUAAACCCUCCUGUAGAGCUGAGAGGUUACUGUCUAAUGAACCCCUAAACCCUCCUGUAGAGCUGAGAGGUUACUGUCUAAUGAAUCCCUAAACCCUCCUGUAGAGCUGAGAGGUUACUGUCUAAUGAAUCCCUAAACCCUCCUGUAGAGCUGAGAGGUUACUGUCUAAUGAAUCCCUAAACCCUCCUGUAGAGCUGAGAGGUUACUGUUACAUGAAUCCCUAAACCCUCCUGUAGAGCUGAGAGGUUACUGUCUAAUGAAUCCCUAAACCCUCCUGUAGAGCUGAGAGGUUACUGUCUAAUGAAUCCCUAAACCCUCCUGUAGAGCUGAGAGGUUACUGUCUAAUGAAUCCCUAAACCCUCCUGUAGAGCUGAGAGGUUACUGUCUAAUGAAUCCCUAAACCCUCCUGUAGAGCUGAGAGGUUACUGUCUAAUGAAUCCCUAAACCGUCCUGUAGAGCUGAGAGGUUACUGUCUAAUGAAUCCCUAAACCCUCCUGUAGAGCUGAGAGGUUACUGUCUAAUGAACCCCUAAACUCUCCUGUAGAGCUGAGAGGUUACUGUCUAAUGAAUCCCUAAACCCUCCUGUAGAGCUGAGGGGUUUGGAUAGGUGGAAGCAACAUGGUGGUAUAUCUACCCAGACACUCUUCUCAUCCUGUCGUCUUCUCAUAAUUUAUUACCUAACUUAACAGAUCACUAUUCAGUCCACUUUCACCUUCAUGGGUUACUUAAAUUUACAUCAUAUAGUCUACUGUCCAUCUGUAAGGGAUAAUAAAUUAGGCUUUUCGUUCUAUGGUGAAUAAUGAAUAACGUGACCCUUCCACGGAGUUGCAUUAUUUUCCAGAGAACGCAUAGUGCCCCAAGUUGAUUAUCCUUUUUAAUACCUUGGCUAUCAUUUAACACAUUUGCCGCUAGAUAUGUGUUCCUUUGCCGCUAGAUAGGUGUUCAUGAUCCACUGAAGUAGCUAGCUAGUUUACUAGAUAGCUACAGUAGUUGCCGUGGUAACCAAACAAAUUUAGCUGGUUUAUCUAAGUAAACCAUCAGUUCUAGCUUGCCAUUAUGAAAAUGUUUUCAAUUUGUCUUUUGCUUUCAAAAGCAGCUCAAAGAUAGAACGUGUAAGAAUGAACUGUAGCCAUUGAAUUCUACCGUGCAACUAUACUGUGGGUUAUAGGAAAAUAAUGCACGCUCUAGAAUGCGCUUCAAGCCAAUCAGAAACAAGUAUUCAACAAUGCCAUGGUAUAAAUCGGUAUGAUUGUAAACAUUUACAUUAGUUUUUUCCAACUCCUUACACACGUUUUCAAAACUCUACACACAAUUCCCAAAACUGCCUCACAUCUCCUUCAAAAUGUAACACUGCAUUCAAAAUGCCAUAAACACGUGUCAGAAUGAAACACUGCUUUCAUAAUAGUACAUUUUUGGAUAUACCAUGUAAACACUGUUGUUCUAAAUCUAAAGCUCUUUGGUCUUUCAUAGGUUUAUAUCUACAUUUCAAUACAAUGUUCUACAGUGAAAGUAAUCUGCUGAGAGGGGUAACAAGUACACUGUUAACACCAAUGCAGUGUGGAAACAGAAAAUAUUUAUUAGGCCAAACAUUACUGUUGUAUACAGUAGCAUACAACAAAACCAUAAACAUAUGUAAACCAAAAGUAUAUUCUUUAUAAUACAGUAAAGAACACAAUUGUGUGUGUGGGGUCCCGGGGGGGGGCAAGUCACCAGUGCUAAGCUACGCUUCAUCUCUUCUCCGGGCUGGGUCUGGCCACAAUACUUCGUCCACAUCACAAGAUACUUCCCUCGAUGUUUGGCAAGAGAAAACGUAUCUCCUAGCAUGGCGUAUCCAACCUUGGACAGAGGCAACCUCUAUGUCCCCACAUGCGUCCUCCAUUGCCUGGAGAAGCGGCAUGCGGACAUAGGGUUGGCGAUCAUACACUUUCCAGCGCCAGGCUGAGAAGAAUUCCUCUAUGGGAUUUAGAAAAGGUGAAUAUGGGGGUAGGUACAAAACUACAAAUUGUGGAUGGGUGGCAAACCAGUUUUGGACCAGAACAGCCCGGUGAAAACUAACAUUGUCCCAUAAAACCACAAAUCUAGCAGGCUCCCGAUCUAGGUCAGGGACAAGCAUUGUGUAAAUUGCAUCCAGAAAAGUGAGCAUAUGGCCGGUGUUGUACGGACCCAGUGUGGCAUUGUGAUGGAGGACCCCGUUUUGAGGGAUGGCAGCACAGUUAUAUUACCCCCACGCUGUCCAGGGACAUUGGUAAUUUCCCUCUGUCCUAUUACAUUUCUUCCACGGCGCCUGGUUUUGGUGAGGUUGAAGCCAACCUCAUCCACAUAAAUAAAUUAAUGGCGAAUUACAUGGGCAUCCAGCUCCAAUACUCUCUGUAACAGACAAAAGGAUAUACAGAUGAGUAAAUAUGGUAUGUCUGAAGUACUAGAAGUAGUGUUGCAUACAUACCUCUACAAAGUCAUGUCGCAUAUUCUUGACUCUGUCGGCGUUUCUCUCAAAUGGCACCUUGUAAAGUUGUUUCAUCAUCACUCGGUGCCGUCGGAGGAUGCGUUGUAUGGUCGACAGGCUUACAUCAUUGAUGUUGUUAAAUAUGGUGUCAUUAUUCAAGAUAUGCUCUCUUAUCUCUCGAAUCCUAAUUGCA